rnacentral:rRNA from 1 species
UGCCUUGAGGCGUGGCUUCCGGAGCUAACGCGUUAAGUCGACCGCCUGGGGAGUACGGCCGCAAGGUUAAAACUCAAAUGAAUUGACGGGGGCCCGCACAAGCGGUGGAGCAUGUGGUUUAAUUCGAUGCAACGCGAAGAACCUUACCUACUCUUGACAUCCACGGAAUUUAGCAGAGAUGCUUUAGUGCCUUCGGGAACCGUGAGACAGGUGCUGCAUGGCUGUCGUCAGCUCGUGUUGUGAAAUGUUGGGUUAAGUCCCGCAACGAGCGCAACCCUUAUCCUUUGUUGCCAGCGGUUAGGCCGGGAACUCAAAGGAGACUGCCAGUGAUAAACUGGAGGAAGGUGGGGAUGACGUCAAGUCAUCAUGGCCCUUACGAGUAGGGCUACACACGUGCUACAAUGGCGUAUACAAAGAGAAGCGACCUCGCGAGAGCAAGCGGACCUCAUAAAGUACGUCGUAGUCCGGAUUGGAGUCUGCAACUCGACUCCAUGAAGUCGGAAUCGCUAGUAAUCGUAGAUCAGAAUGCUACGGUGAAUACGUUCCCGGGCCUUGUACUCCCCGCCCGUCAA